AGGGCGUUAUGAUGUUGGAAUGGUAACAUUCCGAGUCUAGUCCACGGUAAGUCGUAUAACUUACUAU
rfam:Pediococcus claussenii ATCC BAA-344, complete genome.